CAGUCAAUUCUAAAGAGCAGUUCCUGGAUCCACAGCUUCUGGGGCAGGAGGAUUCCGAUAUGUUGUAUCUACCAGCAACACUCGACGUUAUCCAAAGAGAUUCUAGGGAUUCAGUUUGUCAUGGGAAGAAUCUUCUGGAGGCCAAGGGAACAGUAGACAAGAGGCCCUGGUUUUCCUGACGGAGCUCUCUGAGAACAGAGGGUUCCCUGCACACGAGAUGUGAGACCGCGUGCCUUGUGUGAGCCUCAGAUGAGCCCUGCAGCUCCCUCAGGAUGCUAUUCGGAUAGUGCCGGUGGAGAAGCCCCCGAGGAAGCAUGGUCCUGCUUGCGACGAACUUGCUAUCCUUUCCCGGACACCCUUCGCUGCUUCUACCAGUUUUCAGUGCCAGGAUGCGCUUGAAGGGUGAGCUGAUGCCAGGGAUGUAGCCUUCCCCAGCCAGAGCAUGUGGGCCAAACCCUUUCUGGAUGGCUAGGCAGUGGGGAGAAGCCAUGAGAUGCUUGAGAAGUAGUCACAUCUCCCCUAGGGACAGUCUGGUUUUCAGGGUUACAUCCAUUCAAAAACACCCCCGGAAUUCAGGCUUGUGAAAGAUAAGCCAUCUUGACCCUGUUCCUUUGUUCCCACUGAGGUCCUGUCCUUGGCAUCCCCUUCUGGUUACACACCACCAAGGCACAGACACUACCCUGUCCUGCUGUUUGGCUCUGGAAGAAAUUUGAUUCCUUUCUUUUUGUGCUGGUGGCGAUCACACACAAAAGGGAUGAUGGUGGUGGCGGACAGGAAGCUCAGCUCCUGCCGCCCGGAUGACUCUUCCCUUUGUGGUGACCAAUCCUGGAUGGAAUCCAUUCAAGAUGAAUGCCAGCUUCAUACAAGAGCCCUAUCAGGAUUGGCCUGAGAGAGCGGUGCUGUCAGCUCCUAAAAGUGAAGACUAAACGGCCUAUCUAUGUAAGAUUCUCAGAAGGAAGCCCAAAGCCCAGGAAGGAAUGAUGGACCAGAAACCACAGGACAUGCUCGCAAGGAAGACUUGCUGCAUGGUGGAUGGUCCUGAGAUGGCGGUGCUCACAGGUGGUCACGUUUGGUGCUUGCAGAUUCGUAAUCCCUGCGCCCUUGGCUUUAUUUAUUCUGAUCAUACAAUGACAAACCAGUUCCCAGUGCUGCUAUAGAGGGCUUUCUGGACUGCAAUGCACCUUCCGUAAGGAGAACUUGGCUUCAGCAGCUAGUCCAGAGAUGAGACAGUAGGAGUGGAGGAUCGCCUGGGAUCAUGUAGAGCUCAAUGACCCUUCUCUUGAUUCAUGUGAGGAUGCUAGUAGCCUUGGUUGGAUUUUUCUGCAGUGGGACUUUUAUAGUCCCCUCAGGACCUUGAUGUGACUAACCAUAUGUUCACCAUUGAGAAACGCAAGUCCCCAUCCACACACCCCAGGGUCUAUAUACCUGCAGAGGACUUCUGACCUACAGCAAGUGGGCUCCCUUCUCAUCUUGAAAACCUUCCAGUGUGAACUCUAGAACCAAGGAAGACAGAGAAAGGGGACAAUGUCAGCAUCAUUGCAAGGGAGUACCAAAUGCUACCUCUAAGGAUUUCCUGGACAUGAUGGCAACUUGCAGAAAGAUGGCGGUUCAGUCAAGCUGGUAGAGAAGCCAAGUAUGGAUGUUUGGCCACGGACAGUGUGCUUGAGCUAGCUGUAAGUCACCUGGUCGGGUUACCUGAGCAUCUGAUCCAUCUGUAGGCCUCUCAUCAGUGGGCCGUGCUAACCUUGGUGAGGCAGCUGUGGCUCAGCCCCCCAAGUAUCAGCUUACAAGACUUUGAAAAGAGGUCAUCUUCCGGAAGAGAUGUUGGUGCCAGCACCAUUCAGGGUGUGUGACUGGUUGACCAGAGGGGCAUGCACUCUGUUCACCCUGUGGGCCACCUAGUCACCAACCCUCAGCAUCAAUUCCACUCAAAGAAGAGUUUCCAGAGAUCCUAUCAAGUUUGGGGAUGUGUCAAUGGACUUGAUGGCUGUGCCUGCUCAGUGGACCAGGAUGAACUGUGGUCUUAGGGGUGUAUGUUUACAUAAGAUGCCAUGAGGCAUUCGUGGUAGCCGCUGCAUCACUAUCACAGCCUACUUGAAAUGUUGACUUCAGAUGUGGACAUGAUGUUGACUUCCCAUGAGGGACCUGAAUUCCCUUCUCUCCUGGGAGAGUCUGUGAGAUGAUACCAGCCUUGAGAAGCAGGCAUGGUUGUCCUGACAUCACCACACUACCACAGGAGCUUCUGGAAUAUGUUCUCUUCAUGGAAGCUGUGGAACAGAGCCCCCUCUGGUCCAGGAGGACUAACCAGAUUCAAGGCUAUCAGCAUCCCCCUUCAGGACAGUGGAAGCAGUCACCUUUUCGAGAGAGUUGAUGUGAUCUUCGCCACUGUUCUUCGCCGGUGAUCAUGUGUGAUACUUGGAGAGAGGCUGGCCGUGAUGAAUUCGAUUCAUCUAAACGAGUCAUACACGGCUCUCCUCUCUUCUAGUGUCAAACUCUGCCUCAGAGGUCUUCUUGAGCCACUACUGUAUCCAAGGAUGCCUAAUUGUAAUGCCAGCUUCUGGGGUGAACAUGGACCCACUGUCUUCCGUCAAGGUCUAGGAUGGACAUGGACCCACCAUCAUCUGGGAGGUCCUGGAGUGGACGUGGACCCACCAUCAUCAGGCAGCUUCCUGGAGUAUUCAGAAGCGGGUGGGUGUCGUCUGGAGGAUGUGACUGUGUAACAGCGCCAGAGCAUGUAUCCACUGAGCAGUCUUCUUCUCUUUCCUCUAGCCUCAUGAAAAAUUCUGGGAUCUUUACCUCAAAGGACUCCAGAGGCUACAUCAUCGUAUUGGAACUGGUCAGUGGCUGGACAUCUCUUCAGGACAAGUGCUUGGAGGAAGAACCUGGACAAGCUUCCCUCCCCAUGCUGUUGACUGGAUCUUGUAUCUACCGCUAAGCCACCAUCAUCACCACUGUGUGCCUCUUAGGAGCAUGUCUAGGAGGUGAUGCCAGCUGGGGGAAGAGCCUCUGUCACACAGCCGUCGGUGCCCGCUGCAGCCUGCGCCCGGGAUGUCACGGCCUCCGCUCAACACCUCUGCUGGACAGCUUCAGGUGGUGAUUCCAGCUCCCGGGUUGCUGUGGUCAACACUGGGUACUUGAGGAGAGGUUGUCUGUGAUGAGUUCGCUUUAUUAAUGACGAAUAUAACACAGAUGGCCUGUUUUCAAUACCACCUGCCACUCCGGUCACUCGGCAGUACAUACCAGGUGUCACACCGCUGCCCGGCAGGUGAUGUGACGACACUGAAUUGGUCCGGAACCCUGCCUGUGCUCCAUGCCAGCUACCAGUCCUAGGUUGGCACAUUCCAUUGGGGACAUCCAUGGGAGAGCUAUGGCCAUUAACAAGUCCUGAGACCUGAUCUGAUGCCAUCAGUGGCCCAGCUGCUCUACUGCCUCUCUUCCUGGAUCUCCUGCUUAUGACAACUGACAACAAAGAUAUUUGACUCCGGAAGAUGCUCCCCACAGCUCACCUGAGAGGACUAUCCAGUACCCCACCCCCACCCCCACUGUGCCCUGUGCCAUCCACCUCUGAGUCCCCAACUUUAAGUAGACCCUGCUUCUCACCCAUGUCCCAAUUCCCACCAGGAGCCUUGCAUUUCAGAUCUGAGCAGCCCUGGCUUAGAAUCCUGAAGUGGGGGUGGGUAGGCAGACCCCCGGGGACUGAGCAGGGAGGGGAAGGGGGUUCUGCUCUUGGCUUUCCAAGUUCUCGGUAUGUAUAGCCCUUUGAAUAAUAAACAUAUAUCAUAUAAUGUAAA
rnacentral:lncRNA from 1 species